UACAGAGGGGGCAAGCGUUGUUCGGAAUUACUGGGCGUAAAGGGCGCGUAGGCGGCCUGUUAAGUCGAACGUGAAAUCCCCGGGCUCAACCCGGGAACUGCGUCCGAUACUGGCAGGCUUGAAUUCGGGAGAGGGAUGUGGAAUUCCAGGUGUAGCGGUGAAAUGCGUAGAUAUCUGGAGGAACACCGGUGGCGAAGGCGGCAUCCUGGACUGAUAUUGACGCUGAUGCGCGAAAGCCAGGGGAGCAAACGGG
rnacentral:rRNA from 1 species